rnacentral:lncRNA from 1 species
CUUAAUUCCCAGCUCUUCAAACUGCUAGAGCCACAGACAAUCCUGGAAUACCCCAAAAGAGAGGAGCACACCAAUCAAUAAGAAGUGUUUCCAGCUGUAUCUAUGAAAUGUCUCUCCAGAAUCACUGACAAUUCGGUUCACAUCAUACAGCAAUUAGAUAAUUCUCUGAUGACUUUUAACUUACCUCCUCUCUUUUGACUUCUCCCUACACCAUAUCAAUGUCCAAAGUGUUGCCAAAACCACUUCGAAAAUGCACAUCUGUUUCUGUCUCUCCUUUAUAUUAUGCCUUCAAAUCAUGACUUCUUAAAAUGAUAUAAGGAAUUUUUACAGUUGGGUUACAAAGUAAGUUGGAGCCUCCUUUAUAAUCGUUCCUGUACAUUUGCCAUCCCUCCAGACUUAAAGAAUAAAUUGAAGAACUUUGUACAGAAUAUUGACUUUCCUGUUGAUGUGCCAUCAUUUAGUACAGGAGAAACAACUCAGUGUAUACCUAUCUGCAAACUUUUCUAAUGAUAAUUUGUGCCUAUAGUCCUAUACUGAUGUGAAGUGUGAAAAAAUAUAUACCAGGGGAAACAAAGGAGAAUGGCACCAUAUAAUUGGUAGAUUUUCAUCCCAUAGUUUAUUUUCGUAUUUACCUGCAAGGUCUUUUUUCAUACACUAAAUCAAGCCCUGCCUGUUUUUUUGUAGAUAGAACUUUUUUCCACCAGUUGUAUAAUUU